rnacentral:rRNA from 1 species
CCUACGGGUGGCAGCAGUGGGGAAUAUUGCACAAUGGGGGGAACCCUGAUCCAGCGACGCCGCGUGAGUGAAGAAGUAUUUCGGUAUGUAAAGCUCUGUCAGCAGGGAAGAAAGAAAUGACGGUACCUGACCAAGAAGACCAGGCCAACUACGUGCCAGCAGCCGCGGCAAUACGUAGGGGGCAAGAGUUAACCGGAAUUACUGGGUGUAAAGGGAGCGUAGACGGUUAAGUAAGUCUGGAGUUAAAGGCCGGGGCCCAACCCCGGGACUGCCCUUGAAACUAUUGAACUUGAGUGCAGGAGAGGUAAGCGGAAUUCCUAGUGUAGCGGUGAAAUGCGUAGAUAUUAGGAGGAACACCAGUGGCGAAGGCGGCUUACUGGACUGUAACUGACGUUGAGGCUCGAAAGCGUGGGGAGCGAACAGGAUUAGAUACCCGUGUAGUC